rnacentral:misc_RNA from 1 species
AUGAUGGUUUUUUUGUGUUUGUCAACGGUUAAUUAUAGCAGCCACCAUUAACAAGUAUUAACCCUUGAUAAACCUGUUAAUUCACUUAUAAUGAUGAUUUUAUUGCGAAAAUAUCUACAUCAGAAAAAGAAAGACUUUUUCAAAAAUCUAAUACCUGUUGCUCAAAUCUAGUCUAUUUAAAAAUAAUCAACACCCUCCUGCUCAGCAAGAGGGUGUUAAUU